AUUGAACGCUGGCGGCAUGCCUUACACAUGCAAGUCGAACGGUAACAGGUCCUCGGAUGCUGACGAGUGGCGAACGGGUGAGUAAUACAUCGGAACGUGCCCGAGAGUGGGGGAUAACGAGGCGAAAGCUUUGCUAAUUCCGCAUACGAUCUCAGGAUGAAAGAAGGGGACCGCAAGGCCUUGCGCUCACGGAGCGGCCGAUGGCAGAUGAGGUAGUUGGUGGGAUAAAAGCUUACAAAGCCGACGAUCUGUAGCUGGUCUGAGAGGACGACCAGCCACACUGGGACUGAGACACGGCCCAGACUCCUACGGGAGGCAGCAGUGGGGAAUUUUGGACAAUGGGCGCAAGCCUGAUCCAGCCAUGCCGCGUGCAGGAUGAAGGCCUUCGGGUUGUAAACUGCUUUUGUACGGAACGAAAAGACUCUGGUUAAUACCUGGGGUCCAUGACGGUACCGUAAGAAUAAGCACCGGCUAACUACGUGCCAGCAGCCGCGGUAAAAC
rnacentral:rRNA from 1 species